ACUGUGAUGCUGUUUGAUCAUGUGGUUAAGGUAGCGACCACCAGAUCUCACCAUUAUAAAGCUUCUUCCUUCAGUUACCCCAAAGACCAGAGCUGCAUGCUUAAUUUCAUUCUUGGAUUAAGAGUUGAUAACUUGGGACCUUUGGACCAACACAGCGUAAGAAAAUGGACAUACCAAUCAUCCAUCCAAGAUCUGGAACUCAGGACAAUUGAGGCAGCUGGUAAGAGGUUCCCUAUGCAUGUUCAUUGACAUCCUACUACACUGUAAGAAGAGAGAGAGAGACAAAGGAUCUGAUCCGCUCCUGGGAAAAAAACAAAAGUACACCAUUGAAAUUCUGGACAAGGCUGCCAGAACCUAACAGGCAAGGACAUGGACUCUGCUAUUCCCGAAUAGGAGUUGCUAAAUGCUGAUAAAGACUUUGAUAAAGCAAUACUCACUACAGAUUUGCAUUUUCCUGAGGGAGUGGAAGUGGACAAUUUCUGCUUGCAGAUGGAUACCUAUGGCCAAGAGAACUGGAUCUUCAAAUGGCUUUUCUGCAUUAUUAUUAGGAAGCCAUUGCUGACAUGUCCAGCCCACUGUAAUUAGUACCCUUCAAGAGCCCCAGCAUACGGUCCCAGUUGCUACUAGCAGCGUCCUGUAAGCUUCACUGCAGCCAGAAGAAUAGAAGUGUAGAAAGAGCCUCGGUUUUCCAGGUUUCGGGGACACUGACCACAUUGUACACUACAACUGACCACCUUUGGACUUCAAAAGCACACAUCUCCUUGGUAUUCAAACCGCCUUGAGUCAGGCAGUCAACAAAUUCUGUCCAGGCCAUCUUCUCGUCUCCAGUCAAGCCACAUUCAACACCUCAACCUGUAUUUGUCCAGCCCAGGAGAUCAUCAACUCAUGUCUGGAUUGCAGUCAUUGUCGCUGACUCACCUCUCUGCUUCUACUUUUACACCUAGAGUCUGUUCUACUCAUAACAGGCAGGUAGUCUUUGUAAACCAUGGAUCAGAUCAUGUCAUUCUCUUGCUCAAACAUUCCAAUAACUCCCCAUAAAAUGUAGAGUAAAAUUGGAAUUCCUCACUAUGGCCCAUGGCUAAAUUAUCAGGUUCCUGCCCCUCUAUGAUCCCCUCCUACCUGCUGCAUAGUAGACACAUGAGCCUCCUGGCUCUUUCUCUUGCCAAUCAUUCCUCUGCCUCAGCGCCUGCCCUUGCAUUUGGUUAUCCCUUUGUCUGGAGCCCUCCUCCCCACUGUCCACCCCUACUCCCAAAUGUAUUCACAGUUUCUUGCUCUCUUCUUGUUCUCUGCACAAAUGACACUGCCCACAGAAGCCUUCCCUGAUCACCUGCUCUCUCUCCAACCCAUCAUGUUACAACAUUUAAGCGAUUGAUACUACUUGUUCAUUUGCUAGUGAAAUAUCGGCCUCUGCACCAGCAUGAAAGUGCCAUAAAAAGAGAAAAUUUGACUCUUUAAUUUUUUUAUUUCCUAAAGUGGAUGCUCAACAAGUAUUUGACCAAAAAAAGGCAGAGGGGGAGGAAUAGGAAGAAAGGAGAGGAAGUAUCUGGGCACCUCAGUGUGAAUGAGUUUAACAGAUUAUGUUUGCUAUCUGGAUUUUUCUCAUCGCUAAGUCAGUGCAACUGUCACCUCCUUACUGAAGCCUUCUAUGACUACCAACCUGAAGGAGAACUGCUUUCCCCAGCCACUCUUAAUUCUCAUUCGCCUGUUUUAGUUUCUUCAGAGCACAUAGGACUAUCUGAAAUUAUCUGUCAACUGUAUUUUUCUCACUAAAAUGAAAGCUCUAACCUUGUCAAUUUUGUUCCCCCUUCAAGGCCUAGAUAAUGCCAGGCAUAGUGUUGAUAGUCCUAAAUAUAUAUUGAAUGAAUCAAUCAAUCAAUAAGCCAAAUGACUAAAUAAAUCAUUCCUUUGCAGAAGACACCACAGAACAUAAAAUAAGAAAAUGUGGACAGCAACAGAA